rnacentral:rRNA from 1 species
GACCGCCAGCUAAGGUCCCAAAGUCAUGGUUAAGUGGGAAACGAUGUGGGAAGGCCCAGACAGCCAGGAUGUUGGCUUAGAAGCAGCCAUCAUUUAAAGAAAGCGUAAUAGCUCACUGGUCGAGUCGGCCUGCGCGGAAGAUGUAACGGGGCUAAACCAUGCACCGAAGCUGCGGCAGCGACACCGUGUGUUGUUGGGUAGGGGAGCGUUCUGUAAGCCUGUGAAGGUGUGCUGUGAGGCAUGCUGGAGGUAUCAGAAGUGCGAAUGCUGACAUAAGUAACGAUAAAGCGGGUGAAAAGCCCGCUCGCCGGAAGACCAAGGGUUCCUGUCCAACGUUAAUCGGGGCAGGGUGAGUCGACCCCUAAGGCGAGGCCGAAAGGCGUAGUCGAUGGGAAACGGGUUAAUAUUCCCGUACUUGGUGUUACUGCGAAGGGGGGACGGAGAAGGCUAUGUUGGCCGGGCGACGGUUGUCCCGGUUUAAGCGUGUAGGUAUGUGUUCCAGGUAAAUCCGGUUCACUUUAACACUGAGGCGUGACGACGAGGCACUACGGUGCUGAAGCAACAAAUGCCCUGCUUCCAGGAAAAGCCUCUAAGCAUCAGGUAACAUCAAAUCGUACCCCAAACCGACACAGGUGGUCAGGUAGAGAAUACCAAGGCGCUUGAGAGAACUCGGGUGAAGGAACUAGGCAAAAUGGUGCCGUAACUUCGGGAGAAGGCACGCUGACACGUAGGUGAAGUGAUUUACUCACGGAGCUGAAGUCAGCCGAAGAUACCAGCUGGCUGCAACUGUUUAUUAAAAACACAGCACUGUGCAAACACGAAAGUGGACGUAUACGGUGUGACGCCUGCCCGGUGCCGGAAGGUUAAUUGAUGGGGUCAGCGCAAGCGAAGCUCCUGAUCGAAGCCCCGGUAAACGGCGGCCGUAACUAUAACGGUCCUAAGGUAGCGAAAUUCCUUGUCGGGUAAGUUCCGACCUGCACGAAUGGCGUAAUGAUGGCCAGGCUGUCUCCACCCGAGACUCAGUGAAAUUGAACUCGCUGUGAAGAUGCAGUGUACCCGCGGCAAGACGGAAAGACCCCGUGAACCUUUACUAUAGCUUGACACUGAACAUUGAGCCUUGAUGUGUAGGAUAGGUGGGAGGCUUUGAAGUGUGGACGCCAGUCUGCAUGGAGCCGACCUUGAAAUACCACCCUUUAAUGUUUGAUGUUCUAACGUGGACCCGUGAUCCGGGUUGCGGACAGUGUCUGGUGGGUAGUUUGACUGGGGCGGUCUCCUCCUAAAGAGUAACGGAGGAGCACGAAGGUUGGCUAAUCCUGGUCGGACAUCAGGAGGUUAGUGCAAUGGCAUAAGCCAGCUUGACUGCGAGCGUGACGGCGCGAGCAGGUGCGAAAGCAGGUCAUAGUGAUCCGGUGGUUCUGAAUGGAAGGGCCAUCGCUCAACGGAUAAAAGGUACUCCGGGGAUAACAGGCUGAUACCGCCCAAGAGUUCAUAUCGACGGCGGUGUUUGGCACCUCGAUGUCGGCUCAUCACAUCCUGGGGCUGAAGUAGGUCCCAAGGGUAUGGCUGUUCGCCAUUUAAAGUGGUACGCGAGCUGGGUUUAGAACGUCGUGAGACAGUUCGGUCCCUAUCUGCCGUGGGCGCUGGAGAACUGAGGGGGGCUGCUCCUAGUACGAGAGGACCGGAGUGGACGCAUCACUGGUGUUCGGGUUGUCAUGCCAAUGGCACUGCCCGGUAGCUAAAUGCGGAAGAGAUAAGUGCUGAAAGCAUCUAAGCACGAAACUUGCCCCGAGAUGAGUUCUCCCUGAGACUUUAGGUCUCCUGAAGGAACGUUGAAGACGACGACGUUGAUAGGCCGGGUGUGUAAGCGCAGCGAUGCGUUGAGCUAACCGGUACUAAUGAACCGUGAGGCUUAACCUU